GACGAACCGUGCGAACGUUGUUCGGAUUCACUGGGCUUAAAGGGCGCGUAGGCGGGCCGGCCAGUCUGUGGUGAAAGCCCCCAGCUCAACUGGGGAAGUGCCGUGGAUACUGCCGGUCUGGAGGAGGGUAGGGGUAUCUGGAACGCUGGGUGGAGCGGUGAAAUGCGUUGAUAUCCAGCGGAACUCCGGUGGCGAAGGCGAGGUGCUGGACCCUUUCUGACGCUGAGGCGCGAAAGCCAGGGGAGCAAACGGG
rnacentral:rRNA from 1 species